rnacentral:lncRNA from 7 species
GGUCCCUGGCUGGGUUAUGUCCUUCUUGCUGAGCUGCUACCUGGAGGAUAGCAUCACACAGAGCAGUAAAUCACUGCACAGCCUCAAACUGUGUUCCCUGCGGGAGGCAUCACCCUGAGGAUGUAGUGGCUUUGAGCACUGAGCAUCCUCCACCUGUGGGCACAGUGCAUGCAGAAGUGUUCCUGCUGUGCUGUCUGAGGUGCAGACCCACCGAGCCCAGCGGUGCCAUGGGGACUUGGCCAAGGUUCUGUCCUCAUGCUUGGGAUGCAGGAGCAGGACAGCCAAGCCCUUGGAAAUGACAACUUGGAGGCUUUUGGGGCUCACCUUUCUCUUAGGGAGCUGCCAAGGAGAGGGCUUUGUGCAGAGUUGUGCCGGUGUGACAUUCAUGCCUCUGAGCUCGUGUUGUCUUCCUGCAGUAAUCCCCGAUCUGUGUUCCACUGGGCUCUCCCAGACGUCUCUUUGUUACCAUGUGUUGGGGAAUAGCACUGCAGCAGCACAGGCACCAGCCCUGAAUUUGGGUGUUAAGAAACACCUCCUCACAGGUUUGUAUAAGUACUUAUCUUCUCUUUAGAAGAUAAUCGAAGACAAAUGUGUGUACAGGACGUAAGCUUAACAAAUGGGGCUGCCUCCUGAAAAUGUGAAUGCCCAUGAAAUAGAUACGGACGUGAGAGAAGCGCGGCUCCACGCAGCAUCCCCGGUGCCUGCAGGGAGCAGAGACUCCAGGAAGGUCACUGAAACCGUGAAUUCAGCUACAAUCAACGUUUCUCCACCAUCGAUAUUCAUACAGGCCAGACAAAGCAUUUCAUUUUGUAGCUGCUCGUAAAUCAGGCAGAGAAGAAGAGGAAGAAAUGGAAGAGGGAAAGAGAAGGAUAUAAAAGAAGGGAUAGCUGGGGGAUGAGUGGAAGACGAGAGGAGGCUCUGCUCAUUCGGGCUCACAUCUGCUCCGUCUGAAGUGGAACCACCUGUUAGUUUAUUAAAUUGCACAAUUAAUUUAUGUGGAGGGAAGGGGAGACUGCAGCUCAUCAGCGAUCUCCUGUUUCACCCCCAACCUGGAGCCCAGCACACCACGGGGCCCUUGUUCCUAUUGGAGCGUUCCAAGCACCUCCCUCAAGGCACUUGGUGCCCCAGGGUGUGCUGGUGGACGGUGCGCUCCCAGUGCUGAGCCCUGUCCUGGGGAGAGACCUCUGCCCCUAAAACAUCCCCAAAUGGUCCCCAAAAGGCUCCACAAUGAACAGCACCAUGAUGGUAGGGAUAAGGCUUCUCCAUUGCCUCUGGCAGCACCACCGUGGUGCUCACCCGUGUCCAAACACUUUGAGUUUUUCAUUACCAAAGACAAUAAACGCUCUAAAUAAUGUGUUUCAGAUGUCUAUUUCGGAAGGUGUCCUAGCAGCUCUACCCUGUGAGCCCCUAACAUAGGCCGGUCCACAGUGAUGCACGCCUUCCCGGCUCACACAGCCACGCUCCAAUUAUGUGAAAUGCUCUCCAGAUUUGGUUCCCAUUAUUGUCUUCCUUUGGCAUGACUGACUGGAGCACUCGAAUUGGAAAGGUCCCAGAAUCUUCAGCCUCCUAAAAUAUUUUCAAUAACGUUGAGAGCAAUUUUCCUCCGAGCGUGUAAGGAUUUCAGCGGAGGAGCCAACUUUCCCAGAGGAAUGAUCCAAUUACGGGGACUGGAUGCUCCUGUCAAUCUCUCCCUCAGGGACGUGGAAAAUCAAAAUUAUGAUUUAUUUUUUUAAUGUGACAGUGAGCGUAAAGGCAGGAAUCUAAACCAUACCGUUAUCUCCCCAGGCACUCCCGCUCCUCUGGCUGAUACUGUUAGCUAAAAAUACCGACUCAUUUCAGGCAGAACCUCCUUAAAUUCUGCCCUAAUGACAGCACCGGCAGGGCCCAGCCUUCGGUACGGUGCUGAAUUAUGACUGUUUAAUGGUGACCUUUGCAUGUAAAAAUUGAGUCGGAACGACUUCUGCUUGCGCUAAUGCAAUGAGAGAAAUGUGGUUCCGAGAGAGGGGUUUGCAGUCAAUGACAAAGGAAGGGAAAGGAAGCAGCAGUCCC